AUUGAACGCUUGCGGCAGGCCUAACACAUGCAAGUCGAACGAGUGGCGGACGGGUGAGUAAUGUCUGGGAAACUUCCCGAUGGAGGGGGAUAACUACUGGAAACGGUAGCUAAUACCGCAUACCAUCGGAUGUGCCCAGAUGGGAUUAGCUAGUAGGUGGGGUAACGGCUCACAUAGGCGACGAUCGCUAGCUGGUCUGAGAGGAUGACCAGCCACACGGGAAAGGAGACAAGGUCAAGAAUCCGACGGGAGGCAGAAGUGGGGAAUAUUGCACAAUGGGAGCAAGCCUGAUGCAGCAAUGCCGCGGGUAUGAAGAAGGCCUUCGGGUGGUAAAGUAAUUUAAGCGGGGAGGCGUUACCCGCAGAAGAAGCACCGGCUAACUCCGUGCCAGCAGCCGCGGUAAUAC
rnacentral:rRNA from 1 species